rnacentral:rRNA from 1 species
UACGGGGGGGGCAAGCGUUGUUCGGAAUUACUGGGCGUAAAGGGCGCGUAGGCGGCCAACUAAGUCAGACGUGAAAUCCCUCGGCUUAACCGGGGAACUGCGUCUGAUACUGGAUGGCUUGAGUUCGGGAGAGGGAUGCGGAAUUCCAGGUGUAGCGGUGAAAUGCGUAGAUAUCUGGAGGAACACCGGUGGCGAAGGCGGCAUCCUGGACCGGCACUGACACUGAGGAGCGAAAGCCAGGGGAGCAAACGGG